UACGUAGGGGGCAAGCGUUGUCCGGAAUCAUUGGGCGUAAAGAGCGUGUAGGCGGCCCGAUAAGUCCGCUGUGAAAGUCCAGGGCUCAACCCUGGGAUGCCGGUGGAUACUGUCGGGCUCGAGUCCGGAAGAGGAGUGUGGAAUUCCUGGUGUAGCGGUGAAAUGCGUAGAUAUCAGGAGGAACACCGGUGGCGAAGGCGGAUUCCUGGACCAGUUCUGACACUGAGGAGCGAAAGCUAGGGGAGCAAACAGG
rnacentral:rRNA from 1 species